AGCAGUCGCCGCGGUAAUACAGAGGGUGCGAGCGUUAAUCGGAUUUACUGGGCGUAAAGCGUGCGUAGGCGGCUUCUUAAGUCGGAUGUGAAAUCCCUGAGCUUAACUUAGGAAUUGCAUUCGAUACUGGGAAGCUAGAGUAUGGGAGAGGAUGGUAGAAUUCCAGGUGUAGCGGUGAAAUGCGUAGAGAUCUGGAGGAAUACCGAUUGCGAAGGCAGCCAUCUGGCCUAAUACUGACGCUGAGGUACGAAAGCAUGGGGAGCAAACAGGAUUAGAUACCCCUGUAGUCCCUGUCUCUUAUAC
rnacentral:rRNA from 1 species